rnacentral:rRNA from 1 species
CGGCAAGAGCUCAAAUUUGAAAGCUGGCCCCUCCGGGGUCCGCGUUGUAAUUUGCAGAGGAUGCUUUGGGUGCGGCCCCCGUCUAAGUGCCCUGGAACGGGCCGUCAGAGAGGGUGAGAAUCCCGUCUUGGGCGGGGUGUCCGUGCCCGUGUAAAGCUCCUUCGAC